UACGUAGGGUGCAAGCGUUGUUCGGAAUUAUUGGGCGUAAAGGGCGCGUAGGCGGUGCGGUAAGUCACCUGUGAAAUCUCCUGGCUCAACUGGGAGCUUGCAGGCGAAACUGCCGUGCUGGAGUGUGGGAGAGGUGAGUGGAAUUCCCAGUGUAGAGGUGAAAUUCGUAGAUAUUGGGAAGAACACCGGUGGCGAAGGCGGCUCACUGGCUCAUUACUGACGCUCAGGCGCGAUAGCGUGGGGAUCAAACAGG
rnacentral:rRNA from 1 species